rnacentral:rRNA from 1 species
UACGGAGGGUGCGAGCGUUGUCCGGAAUCACUGGGCGUAAAGGGCGCGUAGGCGGCUGGGGAAGUCGGCGGUGAAAGCCCGGAGCUCAACUCCGGGUCGGCCGUCGAGACUCCUCGGCUCGAGCUCACUAGAGGCAGAUGGAAUUCCGGGUGUAGCGGUGGAAUGCGUAGAGAUCCGGAAGAACACCGGUGGCGAAGGCGGCCAGCUGGGCCAGGUCCGACACUGAGGCGCGAAAGCGUGAGGAGCAAACAGG